CAACACAAAACAAUUAGAAGAACAUAUUAUACGGAUGAAAAUUAGUGUUUAUGAGUGCUUGUGAGAUUUUCUUUGUCUAAGGGCUGAACAUCACAUCGAUUGCUCUGCGCUCCAGAACACGGUGAUGUCUGGCUUUUCGGCGAGAGAACGGACAAAUAAAUACACAUUUCAUUGCUUUUAUUGUGAGCACGAUGGGACUGCACUCUCUGAUCGGACCGGUGGUUUUUCGCUAGUCUUUCAUACUGAUCUCUGGCCAGACAUCAAUUAUUAAUGAGAUCUGACCCGGUAAUAAUAACAUAUGUUGUUGUAGCUUGUCAGUGUGAAUGAAAUGUGUAUUUAUUUGUCCGUUCUAUCGCCGAAAAGCCAGACGUCACCGUGUUCUGGAGCGCAGAGCAAUCGAUGUGAUGUUCAGCCCUUAGACAAAGAAAAUCUCACAAGCACUCAUAAACACUCACUUUCAUCCGUAUAAUAUGUUCUUCUAAUUGUUUUGUGUUGAUUCGCUUAAGUGUUUUAAUGUAAAAGGCUGUAGUUUCAGUAUGUAGCCCUUUUUCCCCGUGCCAGUGUUGAAGUCUCGCGCUGUCAGAGAGGCUGCCGCAAAUCUUUAAGUUUCACACUUCAGCAGCUGACAAAAACCUGCUUUUAGCUCUUGGUUCUAAUGGGUGGAUUGUGUGCAAACGCUGUAAUGUUUUAUUUUUAAAAGGUCUUAAACAAGAAUAAAUUCGUUUGUUGUGAGCCCGUUGUGAGACCACUCGCUCAUCGGAGCGGUGAUUUCUCUCUCGUCUUUCUCUCUCUUCUGUGGCCAGAUAUCAAUUGUUAAUAAGCCCUGACCCCUGUAAUAAUCAGAUAUGUUGGUUUAGCUUGUCAGUGUGAAAAAAAAUGUAUGUAUUUAUUUGCAUUUUUAACCGAUUUAAAAGUGAAACUAAGGCAGACUCCUCCCUCAGUCCCGGGAAUUGCUCCUGUAGAGGCGCAAUUUUUCUCAGACAAUGGAAGUCUAUGGGAAAUUUCUGACUUUUAAUAAUUAAUAUAAAAAAAAACUGUAAGUCUGAUCACUCUGAAAAGAUAUAGCACACUUCUGCCCCCGUGCCGCAGGUGUCUGCCAAGUUUGGGGCUUGUGGCUUUAAAGCCCUAGGAGGAGAUAGGUUUGGAAAUUUUAGUCUCAGAAAAAGAAUAA
ensembl:lncRNA